GGCUUUGGUCACAGUGACCGCCACCGUUGCCCGGGGAUGGGUCCCUGAGACUUGGCGAAGUAGGAGCCCUGUGUGAUCGUGCGUCAGAGUCGGGGCUGAGACCAGUCCUGGCCAGGGCAGUUACCAGGACGGUCUCCGGAGGCCGGGAUGCGCGGAGGCUCCACCAGCAGGAAGAAACGCCAGGAGGAAGAAACCUGAGACAGAUCGCCGGGGACGCAGCGCGGGAUCCCACUCAAGAUCUUAUUAUU
rnacentral:lncRNA from 10 species